rnacentral:rRNA from 1 species
CCUACGGGAGGCAGCAGUGGGGGAUAUUGCACAAUGGGGGAAACCCUGAUGCAGCGACGCCGCGUGAGUGAAGAAGUCUUUCGGUAUGUAAAGCUCUAUCAGCAGGGAAGAAAAUGACAGUACCUGACCACGAAGCCCCGGCUAACUCCGUGCCAGCAGCCGCGGUAAUACGUAGGGGGCAAGCGUUAUCCGGAUGUACUGGGUGUAAAGGCAGCGUAGACGGUUCUGUAAGUCUGGAGUGAAAGCCCGUGGCCCAACCCCGGGACUGCUGUGGAAACUGUGUGACUGGAGUACAGGAGGGGAAGGCGGAAUUCCUGGUGUAGCGGUGAAAUGCGUAGAUAUCAGGAGGAACACCGGCGGCGAAGGCGGCCGGCUGGACUGAAACUGACGUUGAGGCUCGAAAGCGUGGGGAGCAAACAGGAGUAGAUACCCCAGUAGUC